CAAACUUCCACUGCUGUGGGCCUCAACCAGCACAGCUAAAUGUGAGGGGACAAAAGCUUCGCAGCAAAAAGUGUCACCAGAUUGCGCUUCUGACCUGCUGUUCAGCUUCUGUUCUGCUUACAGAGCUACAUAUGGAGGGACUGCUGUUGUGCAGGACAGCUUGCAAGGUGUAAUCGCAAUGACCUCUAUGUUCUGGGGCAUCAGGGCAAUGGAAUUCUGGCUGGGCGAUGGAAAGGGCAAGAGUUGGUGCAUCUGGAAGGGAGAAAGAAGAAAAAGAGUGCUUCUUUCAUUCUUUAAAUCAAAGCCCGUGGUAACCAUGUGAUUUCAUCAGGAAAUUACUCUGCUACAGUCAGGAGGAAAUCUAGGGACAUUCCUUCCCAGAAGGUCCUGUGCUUUUGAAGGAUGAAGCAGUUGCUUCAUUUCACAAAGGUUCUUGCAUUUAACUUUCUGCUCUGCCUCCGUUUCCUCAUAGUAGCGAAUGCUGAAUUUCUGUCCCUGCCUUUCUGCCCUGCAGUUGCGCUGCCUCCUUGGCAUGACUAGGAAAGGGUAAGAUCACCGCAGCCCUGCCUGUACGUUCUGUGGCAGAACCGAGGCAAGGAGCUGCCGAGGUGGAUGUUGAAGCUGGUUUAUGCUUGCAGCAGAGUCCACUUCUUGGCAGAGAUUUCUAGUGCUUUGUCAAACUGUCUGGCUGCAUCAGUUAAUUACUUGUUCCAAAGUCAUAUCAGAGUGCUUAAAUCUCAAUGAGUUUGUUAAUUUGAUUCUUUGACUAGUUUAGGGGAACUUGGUUGUGCUGGGGUAGCACGAGAACAGUCUUGUAACGUACCUGCAGCACGCCUGCCUGCCAAAGAGGAGGAUAAUCAAUCAGUCCGUUGCCGCCACUAUUGAUGUAGUGUGAGAUGGUCUCUGACUUGAAAGAUGAAGAGGAAAUUAAGCGUAACACAGUGAUAAUGGAAUGAUCAACGCUGCUUGCUGCAGACUUUGCCUCUGCACUGAAAAAGCAAGAUGUUUUGUGAAUGCUAGCUAGAGAUGUGUAAAUGAGACGGUAAGUCUUGCCCGUAAUACAAAGCUAACCAGAAGUGACUAAUAUAGCACUGUCAGCGUUGGUGCUUUACCAGCAAACCAAGAGACACAAGAAGAAUGAGAGGAUGUCCCAAACCUUCUGCUUCAAGAAGGCACAGAGAGUUGUGGUUGUUGUCAUGAAAUUCCUUUUUCUCGGUCUUUGAAUCAUGGUUCUGUUUUCUCUUAUCAUCACUGAGUGUAAAGAAGGAAUUAGUGGAGAAAUCAUUUUCUUCUAGCAGUUGUGUAGCCUGGGUUGUUAUCUA
rnacentral:lncRNA from 1 species